GACCUUACCAGCUCUUGACAUGGCAGGACGGUUUCUGGAGACGGACUCCUUCACUUCGGUGACCUGCACACAGGUGCUGCAUGGCUGUCGUCAGCUCGUGUCGUGAGAUGUUGGGUUAAGUCCCGCAACGAGCGCAACCCUCGCCUCUAGUUGCCAUCAUUCAGUUGGGCACUCUAGAGGGACUGCCGGUGAUAAGCCGAGAGGAAGGUGGGGAUGACGUCAAGUCCUCAUGGCCCUUACGGGCUGGGCUACACACGUGCUACAAUGGCGGUGACAGUGGGACGCGAACCCGCGAGGGUGAGCAAAUCUCCAAAAGCCGUCUCAGUUCGGAUUGCACUCUGCAACUCGAGUGCAUGAAGUCGGAAUCGCUAGUAAUCGUAGAUCAGCAUGCUACGGUGAAUACGUUCCCGGGCCUUGUACACACCG
rnacentral:rRNA from 1 species